ACAAACUUGGUCAUUUAGAGGAAGUAAAAGUCGUAACAAGGUUUCCGUAGGUGAACCUGCGGAAGGAUCAUUAAUAAGAGUUUCUUUUGGGCUCUUGGUCGUUUCGGCCGUGAGCUUUUAAAGAUUAACCCUCUUGUGCACGGUUCUCGUAUGCCUUGGCAGAGCUUUGGUCGUAAUGAUCAACUUUCCGCUGGCCCCUAUCCGACCAAUUAUUUUUGGGUGGACGGGCCUGGUCGGUGAAGCGGCCUGCCAAAGGUUUAAAACACACGUAAAUUUUUAGCCUGAAACUUGUAAAUUAUAAAUGAAAUAUAUAUAACUUUCAACAACGGAUCUCUUGGCUCUCGCAUCGAUGAAGAACGCAGC
rnacentral:misc_RNA from 1 species